AUGUCAUAUUCACGCCCUAGUUCAUCACGCUUGAUCGAAGAGGUGCUAGAUGCAGCUGACCAACUCGAUGACAGCUCAGAUUCUCAUCCGGGAGGUUUAGCACCAACUUCACGCACGUCCGUAACAAAAGUUGUUUCUAUUGUUUCGUCUUUCAACGAGUACAAAAGAUUUCUUGUUAAUGAAAUUGGUUGGGGAGGGAUUCUUAAACUCCCAGCACUCGCCCGACUUAAUCUACGUUUUAGCAAGUGGUGGAUGAGUCGUCUUGAUGGGCCUUCCAUGUCUGUACACCUAAAUGCCACUAAAAGGCUUCGUUUCUGGCCUGGAGAUGUUCACAAAGUAUUUGGUGUGCCAUGUGGGCCCAAAAAUAUUCUUGGGCCGGAUGGCCAAUGCUCAGAAACGACUAUACAGUUCCUACGUUCUAUUCUUGGAAUGCCAAAGAAGGGAAAUCAAGUUCUAAAAGCUGCUGAAUCCAACCUCACUCGUCCUUUGUCUGAGCAUUGUUCUAGUAAUUUAGAGAAAGAUUGUUUCAAGAUGGCAUUCGUUAUUUUCGUUAUCGGCCACCUUCUUGCUUCUUCUAACAAGCACGACACAUCAAUAAUUGACUAUUGGGGAGAAAUAGCAAACACUGAUAGGAUAGCUGACUUUGAUUGGUGCAACUACGUUCUAUCCGAUUUGAUUUCUGCAUCACAACAAGUUCAAUCAGACAUGCGCAAUAACAAGUUAAAGACCCAUCUUCAAGGAUGUCAUGUAUUCCUCCAGAUACGAUCACCCCACGAUAAUUGUUACACAAGGAGUACAUUUGACUUAGCCGCUGAAAAUCUUUCCCGGACAAUGCCGCAACGUAAUCAAUCACCUACUCCUACUUUACGUCCUACCAUACCAACAUCUACAUCAUUAUCUCUGAAGACACCACGAACUCCAACCACACCAGCCGUUCCACAUACCACUGUCCACGACUUUGCUAACUACAUGAAGUCCAAUUAUCCUCAUAUAAGUUCGCCUCCUAUGAGCACAACUCAUCAAAAUUUAGCUUUAAGUGGUCGUAAAUUGGACAUGUCAGAUUCUGAAGCAAAUUCUGUGACACCUCCGUCAUUUGCCACCACUUCAAAUAAGCCUUCAACACUACAGCUAGCUAAGACAUGGGCCGACACAAUCGCUUGUGGUGUUUUGAUGUUCAAUGAUGACCAAAACAUACCUGAUGGAGCUGUUACUUUUGCCCAAUUAUCUGAUCGGCUGCCUACUAAAUCAGCGUCUCGCCAUCUAAAGUACGCUACUGACCAUUGGACUGCACGUGCUUAUCAGCCUAAACUGAGUAUUGACAGCCUUGCUUCUGUUGAACAAUUCAUGAACAAACUAUCUGAAGAUGUUGCUAGGAGACAUGUAUUCUUGCUGGCGAGAAUCUAUGGGAAGUACGCUCCAUACAAAACCAAUUCCUUAGCCAACGAGCGUCAACUCAUCUAUCGAAUUGUAAAAUGGGAUGAAUCUGACUUGGCUAUGAUUCAAAUGGCCUGUUCUUUCAACGGCGUUGGUGUGUCUGAAAUGCUUAACAAGCUAAAUGUGAGGAUCCAGAAAAUUAAUUUGGUUGCAGACGUUGCCAAACUCAUUCACAACGCCGGAGAACCGCCUGUCGAGCUUCACGCCAUAGUCAGCUAG
rnacentral:rRNA from 1 species